AUGACUGAAAUCAAAACAGCUCUGUUAAAAGCACGGGCUAGGGGCUACCUGUCCCCUAACAGCUUCCACCUCCAAGGAUUGAAACCACGUUCUAAGAGAAAUAUUGGCUGCUACAUACAAGCCCGUGUCUGUAGACUAGCAUUGAUCUUUAUCCGUGGGAUUCUCUGUGGCCUGAAUUGAAGUUGAGCUCCUCCAGAGAAGAUUAGAGUUUGCCUCUGCUGGUAGGCUGGGGCAGUACCAACCUAGACUCUUUAAAUCCUCACUUGACAUUUUUCAGAUCAUACAAGUCUCAUGAAAUUAGGCCACAAACCUGCAGGUCCUGGUUAUGAAUUCUCAGGAUAAAGUUUUUUUGCCGAGAAUAAUGGAGGUCCCAUUGGUAAAACUGUAAUAUUUUUGUUGUGCAUGUGUUUGUUUUGAUGAAUAAACAUUGGAGUCAUAUAUAUCUUCCAGCCAUGAGAGAACUUUCUGAGUUGCUAAUAGUUUCUAAACAAUAUAGACAGAUGGGUGAGCUUCCAUUUAAGCUUUCUAUUCCUCUAAGAGCCAGUUGUUAUAAAGAAGUAGGAAACUAACCCAAAACUAUAAUAAGUUUUUUUGCAAACGAUGCAGCUCAACCUAGCUCUUACAGAAGCAGGGUACCCCUUUCUGUAGUGAGUUGGUGGAUUCAUGUAACUAGUUACACUGGCACCCUAGUCUACAGCAGCCCACGUGGGCAGCAUAUAGAAGCUGUUGCUUCUCUUGAGAGGCUAUGCUGGGCAGUGGUUAAAGCCUGGGCUUUGCAGCCAGUGGUCCGUGUGGGAAUCCUGACUUGCAUUCUGGUUUUAUGUGGCCUUGGGCAAAUCCCUUAAUCUCCCUGUGCCUCACUGCUUCCCUUAGUUAAAACAGGGAUGGUAACAUCUCUAUCAACGGUUGCUGUGAGACGGAAGAAGUUAGUACAUGGAAAGAACCCAGACACGUAAUAGGUAGCAAAUAUUAGGUAUUAUUUUUAUUGUUUGACUGUUCCCUGCCACCAAAUCCAGGUAGCAUUGAUGAGAGGUGUAAAACACGUAACAAAAAAACGGAACUAGAACUCCACCCCCUACCAUCAUGUAGUUGAUAGUCUGCUAAAAGCACUGUUAGGAAAUUCUGUUCCACAGAGAUCCACAAGAUUUCCACAAGUAACACAGAGCCAACCGGGAAACUGAAGGAAAAGUAAUUUCAC
rnacentral:lncRNA from 1 species